AUUGAACGCUGGCGGCAUGCCUUACACAUGCAAGUCGAACGGUAACGGGCCUUCGGGUGCCGACGAGUGGCGAACGGGUGAGUAAUGUAUCGGAACGUACCUUUCAGUGGGGGAUAACGUAGCGAAAGUUACGCUAAUACCGCAUAUUCUGUGAGCAGGAAAGCAGGGGAUCGCAAGACCUUGCGCUGAUUGAGCGGCCGAUAUCAGAAUAGCUAGUUGGUGAGGUAAAGGCUCACCAAGGCGACGAUCUGUAGCGGGUCUGAGAGGAUGAUCCGCCACACUGGGACUGAGACACGGUCCAGACGCAUACGGUAUGCAGCAGUGGGGAAUUUUGGACAAUGAGGGCAACCCUGAUCCAGCCAUGCCGCGUGAGUGAAGAAGGCCUUCGGGUUGUAAAGCUCUUUCGGCCGGGAAGAAAUCGUAUCAGCUAAUACCUGGUGCGGAUGACGGUACCGGCAUAAGGAGCACCGGCUAACUACGUGCCAGCAGCCGCAGUAAUAC
rnacentral:rRNA from 1 species